rnacentral:rRNA from 1 species
UACGGAGGAUGCGAGCGUUGUCCGGAUUUACUGGGUUUAAAGGGUGCGUAGGCGGCUUAUUAAGUCAGGGGUUAAAAACAGCGGCUCAACCGUUGGGCUGCCUCUGAUACUGGGAAGCUGGAGUACUCACGAGGUAAGCAGAAUUGGCAGUGUAGCGGUGAAAUGCAUAGAUACUGCCAGGAAUAUCGAUUGCGAAGGCAGCUUACUAGAGAGAAACUGACGCUGAGGCACGAAAGCGUGGGGAUCAAACAGG